rnacentral:rRNA from 1 species
AAGGAUCAUUAUCAAAUAGCGUAGGGGGUAAAAUCCCAGCGUCUAUAUCCUCUGAUUAUAUACCUCUGUUGCUUUGGCGGACCGGGCGUCAUGCCCCGGCGGUCAGGUUCCCCUGCCUGCCGAGCGUCCGUCAGAGACCCCAUUAAACCCCUUAUAACUAUAUUGUCUGAAGAAAAACAUAAUAGCUAAAACUUUCAACAACGGAUCUCUUGGUUCUGCCAUCGAUGAAGAACGCAGCGAAAUGCGAUAAGUAAUGUGAAUUGCAGAAAUCGUGAAUCACCGAAUCUUUGAACGCACAUUGCGCCCUCUGGUAUUCCGGGGGGCAUGCCUGUUCGAGCAUCAGUACGACCACAAGCUCAGCUUGGUAUUGGUGGUCGCCCUCCCGGGGGCGUCACCUAAAAUCAGCGGCGUAGCUGCCUGGCUCCUAAGCGUAGUAACAUUUUCUCGCUUUGGGCUCCAGGUGGAUUACUGCCGGACAAUCAACUAUUUUUUACACGUUGAUCUCGGAUCAGGUAGGGAUACCCGCUGAACUUAAGCAUAUUAAUAAGCGGAGGAAAAGAAACCAACAGGGAUUGCCCUAGUAACGGCGAGUGAAGCGGCAACAGCUCAAAUUUGAAAGCUGGCCUUUGGCCCGCAUUGUAAUUUGCAGAGGAUGAUUCGGGUGCGAUACCUGGCUAAGUCCCUUGGAAACAGGGCGUCAUAGAGGGUGAUAAUCCCGUAUGUGCCAGGCCGUCUAUCCCUUGUGAAUCUCCUUCGACGAGUCGAGUUGUUUGGGAAUGCAGCUCUAAAUGGGUGGUAAAUGCCAUCUAAAGCUAAAUACCGGGCAGAGACCGAUAGCGCACAAGUAGAGUGAUCGAAAGAUGAAAAGCACUUUGAAAAGAGAGUCAAAAAGUACGUGAAAUUGUUGAAAGGGAAGCGCUUGCAACCAGACUUGCCCGGGGGGUUCAGCCGUGCUUCUGUACGGUGUAUUUCCCCUCGGACAGGCCAGCAUCAGUUUUGGCAGCUGGAUAAAGGCGCCGGGAACGUAGCACCUCUCGGGGUGUGUUAUAGCCCGGCGUGUCAUACAGCUAGCUGGGACUGAGGACCGCGCAUUGCUAGGAUGCUGGCGUAAUGGUUGCCAGCGACC